GCGCUGGCCCUCUCUCCUGGGACACGCACCGCCUCCAAUCCUGGUUUAUGCUGGGAUUGUAGUCAGGCAGCCCUGUGAGCAAUUUUUCAGAUUAACUCUUAAGUACUCCACGGCUACAUGCUCCUGAAGCUGUCAUAGUCACAGCCUCAGAUCUGUGCAGGGCGGAUGCACAAGAGCAGAAUCUCCGUGGACAUCUUUCUGGAGCAUCAAUUUUACUGCAAGAUUUUGAAGAAACACAUUUAAUUGAUUUUCAAGGUGAGAAAUUAAACCUCGAAAACUAGACUGGAAAGUCAUCUACGCCUGAACUAUCAGACUUUCUUCAGAAGAAAACUCUAAGGAGAACAUAUUUUCCGUUAUUAUAAAUAUUACAAAUGAGAAAUCAUAGCAAGUUACCUGAAAAUGCUGCCCUGGCAGUUUCCUAAAUCACAACAUGUCCUGGGUAUGGUUUUAGGUGUAUUUUCUUUUUGGGGUGUGUUCACCUUUUGGAUAUAAAAAUUGGGGUUUUUGACCACAUCUUGUAAGUUUUCUGCUAUUGGUAGUUUCUUUACUUUUGUACCAUAUUUAAUUUUUCUGUGUCUUCCUCUUCUUCUCAGACUCAGUCACUCCACAAGUCUCUAAAGGCUCUGUUCAUUUUCUUCAAACGUGUUUCAUGUUGGAUGAUUUCUAUUGCUGUCUUCUGUUUCUACUCUGUGGAUAAGCUCAAGGGUGUGUGUGCGUGUGUGUGUGUGCGUGUUUUCCAUUUCAUUAUUUUUCUAUUUGGUUCUUCUUAUAAUUUUCAUUUCUCUGCUGAGGUUCCACAUCAGUUAAUUCAUUAUGAGAAUAUUUUCCUUUACUCUCAUGAACAUACUCAUAAGAGCUGAUUUUAAAUCCUUGUCUGCUGAUCUGAUUACAUCAUGUUGCUUUUUAUCUUGUGUAUACAUUACAUUUUCAUCUUUCUUCACACAUUUCAUGAAUUUUAAUGUGUUCUAUGAGUUUCUGGUAGUUAUAGAGACUCUAAAUUCUGCUGUAUUCUUUUGAAGAGCAUUGUUAUUAUUUGAAGAAGGGGUUAAUUUGGCUGGAUUCAAACUGCAAUACCUGUCUCUCCUGCAGUGGGCACAGCUGAAAUCCUCAUUCAGUUCUUAUGCACAUAUAUGUAUUUUAUAUAGAUGUGUGAUUCUAUGUAACUGUAUAUAAUAUAUUAUGCAGAUUUUAUCACAGUUACAUGUGAGAGUGUUAGUUCAACAAUACUCCAGUAUUACUGGAAGCCAGAACCUUAGUUUUGUUUGCUUACUGGAUUUUAUAUAAAUGAAAUAAUAUAGUAUGGAUACUUUUACACCUACUUUCUUUUACAUGUCAUUAUGUUUGUGAUAUUCAUCUUUGCUGUUGCAGAUUGCUAUAAUUUGUACACUUUAAAAAGCAUUGUUUACACUGUGGUAAAAUAUACAUAAAAUUAACGACUUUAACCAUUUUUAAGUGUGAAGUGUGCAGGAAUUAAAUACAUUCACAUUGUUUUGCAACCACCAUCCCCAUCUAUAGGUAACAUUUUUUAUCUUGCAAAACUGAGUCUCUGUGCUGAUUAAGCAACAGCUCCCAGUUACCCUCCCUCUAGCCCAUAGGAACCACUCUUCUACUUUGUGUUUGUAUGAAUUUAAUUACCCUAAAUACCUCACGUGAGUGGAAUCAUACAGUGUUUGUCAUUUUGUGACUGGUUUAUUGUACUUAGCACAAUGUCCUUAAGGUUUAUCUAUGUUGUAGCAUGUAUCAGAAUUUUCUUACUUUUGCUAAGUGAAUAAUAUUCCACUGCAUGUAAAAACACAUUUUGUUUACCUACGUAUUUAUUGAUGUUGAUGAUUCAAGGAAAGCUUUGGUUGUUUCACCUUUUGGCUAUUGUGAAUAAUGCUGCUAGGAACCUAGGUGUAUGUAUAUCUCUUUGUGUGCCUGCUUUCAUAUCUUUUUGAGUAUAUCCCAGAAGCAAGAUUGCUGGAUUAUAAGGUAAUUAUAAGUGUAAUUGUAUUUGUUUGUUUGUUUGUUUUUCUGAGAUGGAGUCUUGCUCUGUUGCUCAGGCUGGAGUGCAGUGGUGUGAUCUCAGCUCACUGCAACCUCCGCCUCCUGUGUUCAAGUGAUUCUUCUGCCUCAGCCUCCUGAGUAGCUGGGAUUACAGGCGUGCACCACCACGCCUGGCUAAUUUUUUUGUAUUUUUAUUAGAGACGGGGUUUCACCAUGUUGGCCAGGCUGGUCUCAAACUCCUGAACUCGUGAUCCACCCACCUCGGUCUCCCAAAGUGCUGGGAUUACAGAUGUAAGCCACUGCGCUUGGUGAUUUUCAUGGCAGGUGCGACAUUGUACAUGCCCACCAAUAGCUUACUAGGUUUCUAAUCACUCCACAUCCUCAUCAACACUGUUAUUUUCUAUUUUUUGAUAGUGGCUAUCCUAAUGGAUGUGAAGGGAUAGCUCAUUGUAGGCUUGAUUUGCAUUUUGCUAAUAAUUAGUUCUCUCGAGUAUAUUUUCAAAUGCUUUUUGGCCAUUUUACACCAUCUUUAAGAAAUGUCUGUUCAAGUCCUUUGCCCAUUUUUGAAUGAGGUAGUUUUUUGUUGUUGUUUAGUUAUAGCAGUUCUUUAUAUAUUCCAGAUAUUAAUGUCUUAUCAGAUGUAUGAUGUGCAAAUAUUUUCCCAUGCUGUGCAUUGCUUUGUAAUAUUGUUGAUAAUAUCCUUUAAUGUGUAAAAGUUUUAUUUUAUUUUCAUAAAGUCCAAUUUGUUUUUAUUUUU
rnacentral:lncRNA from 1 species